GAUGAACGCUGGCGGCGUGCCUAAUACAUGCAAGUCGAGCGAACAGACGAGGAGCUUGCUCCUCUGACGUUAGCGGCGGACGUGUGAGUAACACGUGGAUAACCUACCUAUAAGACUGGGAUAACUUCGGGAAACCGGAGCUAAUACCGGAUAAUACAUUGAACCGCAUGGUUCAAUAGUGAAAGACGGUUUUGCUGUCACUUAUAGAUGGAUCCGCGCCGCAUUAGCUAGUUGGUAAGAUAACGGCUUACCAAGGCGACGAUGCGUAGCCGACCUGAGAGGGUGAUCGGUCACACUGGAACUGAGACACGGUCCAGACUCCUACGGGAGGCAGCAGUAGGGAAUAUUCCGCAAUGGGCGAAAGCCUGACGGAGCAACGCCGCGUGAGUGAUGAAGGUCUUCGGAUCGUAAAACUCUGUUAUUAGGGAAGAACAAAUGUGUAAGUAACUAUGCACGUCUUGACGGUACCUAAUCAGAAAGCCACGGCUAACUACGUG
rnacentral:rRNA from 1 species